CUCCAAAUCCUUAUUUGCACUACCCUAAUUCUUGCGGAGUCAAUCUUUCAUACCAGCCACCAGGCUCCAAUCCGAUGAUGAAGACCUAAAACCGAUCUUCUACAUGUAAUUAUAGUUCAUGCCUCCCUAUGCACUUCUUUUAGGAAGUCACUUCAUUGAUGCCUGCAACAAGUAAAAAUUUCUAAAUUACUGAUACCGAUGAUCAAUAUUCCUUGUACGAUACUUUAGCAGGAUCCCUCAAUGUUGGAGGUUCCAGUCUUCAGUUACGGGUUUCUAUGGAUGGAGAAUAAUGUGGACAUGGAUUUUCAUAUCGUGAUGGGUUGAUACAAGUUAUGAUAAUUUUCUUCAAGAUAGUUCCUUCUCAGAUGAUUGAUUUAUGGAAAAUGAACUUUAAUCGGUAUUGAUAUCGUCGGUUGGAUACAAAAUUGGGGAAUGAUAUUUAUAUUGUACUUUUUUUUUUUUGUUUGAAACUAUGACAAUAAAUUUUAUCAUAAAGAUUUGUUACU